ACACGAGAUAAACCUGCAGAUGUUUUAUGUUGUUUGUUGCACAAGUUGUGUCCGAAAUUUCCGCCAUUCAGAUAUGCUCUGCAGCUACAACAAUGCACCUUUUCAAGGAAAAAAAAGCUAAAACAAAGCACUUCAGAGACAGGAAUAGUAGCUCUCGUCUGACACGAGAAGGAGGAUAUGUGGGGUUACUCUUAACUAAAUUCAUGUGUUGAUCAGCCAGACUCAGAAGUCAGGAUGGCCUCGGCAGACGCCUAAUGUGUGCAAGAAUGAUUAAAGUUGGAUAUGCAAGCCUGUAACCUGGUGUGCCGUCGCCGAUUACUAGUUUCCUGUUGUGAUAUCAGCGACGCAGUGUGUGUGUAGUAUACUACUAUGCUAUCUUGGUACAUCCUAAUGAGCUCAUCUCUUCCCAUUUUCCUUUAUCUUUGUGAUGCUUCAAACUAUCUUUGUGAUGCAGUGUGUCUGUACUAUCCUAUCUUGGAUCUUCACAGAAUUUUGCUACUGGUCUGGACUCAUUCUGUCAGUGGUUGUUUGCUUUGUGGACUUGUGCUCGUGGUCUCUGUUUUUUCAAGCUGAUCCUGAAGCUUGCU
rnacentral:lncRNA from 1 species